GGAAUCUUGCACAAUGGGCGAAAGCCUGAUGCAGCAACGCCGCGUGUGGGAUGAAGGCCUUCGGGUUGUAAACCACUUUCAGGAGGGAAGAAAUUGACGGUACCUCCAAAAGAAGGUCCGGCCAACUACGUGCCAGCAGCCGCGGUAAUACGUAGGGACCGAGCGUUAUCCGGAAUCAUUGGGCGUAAAGAGCUCGUAGGCGGUUCAGAAAGUCGGCUGUGAAAGUCCAAGGCUCAACCUUGGAAAUGCA
rnacentral:rRNA from 1 species